UGCAGUCGAACGGUUGUAGCAGUACAGCAGUGGCAGACGGGUGAGUAACACGUGGGAACCUACCUAGGGGUACGGAAUAACUCAGGGAAACUUGUGCUAAUACCGUAUACGACCUUCGGGUGAAAGAUUUAUCGCCCCUAGAUGGGCCCGCGUUGGAUUAGCUAGUUGGUGGGGUAAAAGCCUACCAAGGCGACGAUCCAUAGCUGGUCUGAGAGGAUGAUCAGCCACACUGGGACUGAGCCAGGGUCAAACCUUCAACGGGAGGCAGCAGUAGGGAAUCUUGGACAAUGGGCGAAAGCCUGAUCCAGCCAUGCCGCGUGAGUGAUGAAGGCCUUAGGGUUGUAAAGCUCUUUCGCCAGGGAAGAUAAUGACGGUACCUGGAUAAGAAGCCCCGGCAAACUUCGUGCCAGCAGCCGCGGUAAUACGAAGGGGGCUAGCGUUGUUCGGAAUUACUGGGCGUAAAGCGCACGUAGGCGGUUUUCCAAGUUGGAGGUGAAAUCCCUGGGCUCAACCCGGGAACUGCCUCCAAAACUGGAUGACUCGAGUCCGAGAGAGGUGAGUGGAAUUUCCAGUGUAGAGGUGAAAUUCGUAGAUAUUGGAAAGAACACCAGUGGCGAAGGCGGCUCACUGGCUCGGUACUGACGCUGAGG
rnacentral:rRNA from 1 species